rnacentral:rRNA from 1 species
AACGAACGCUGGCGGCAGGCCUAACACAUGCAAGUCGAACGCUCCGCAAGGGGAGUGGCGCACGGGUGAGUAACACGUGGGAACCUACCUUCUGGUACGGAACAACCAAGGGAAACUUUGGCUAAGACCGUAUACGACCUCCGGGUGAAAGAUUGAUCGCCGGAAGAGGGGCCCGCGUCCGAUUAGGUAGUUGGUGAGGUAACGGCUCACCAAGCCUUCGAUCGGUAGCUGGUCUGAGAGGAUGACCAGCCACACUGGGACUGAGACACGGCCCAGACUCCUACGGGAGGCAGCAGUGAGGAAUAUUGCGCAAUGGACGAAAGUCUGACGCAGCAACGCCGCGUGCAGGAUGACGGCCCUCUGGGUUGUAAACUGCUGUAGCAGGGGAAUAACACCCGCCUUUGGCGGGUGAAGGUACCCUGAAGUAAGCUCCGGCUAACUACGUGCCAGCAGCCGCAGUAAU